GGGAUAGAAUUCCAGGAGUAGCGGUGAAAUGCGUAGAUAUCUGGAGGAAUACCAAAGGCGAAGGCAGUCCCCUGGUCCGAUACUGACACUGAGGUACGAAAGCGUGGGGAGCAAACAGGAUUAGAUACCCUGGUAGUCCACGCCCUAAACGAUGUCGAUUAGCCAUUGGAAGGACCCCUUUUCCUUUCAGUGACGUAGCUAACGCGUUAAAUCGACCGCCUGGGAAGUACGACCGCAAGGUUAAAACUCAAAGGAAUUGACGGGGACCUGAACAAGCGGUGAAUGAUGUGGAUUAGUUCGAUGCUACGCGAAGAACCUUACCUACCUUUGACAUGGCCAAAGUUCUACCGAGAGGCGGAAGUACUCGUAAGAGGAUUGGCGCACAGGUGCUGCAUGGUUGUCGUCAGUUCGUGUCGUGAGAUGUUGGGUUCAGUCCCGCAACGAACGCAACCCUUAUCUUUAAUUGCUCCUAUUUUAACAGGCACUUUAAAGAAACUGCCAAUGAUAAGUUGGAGGAAGGUGGGGAUCACGUCAAGUCCGCAUGGCCUUUAUAGGUAGGGCUUCACACGUCAUACAAUGGUUAGAACAAAGAGCUGCAAAUUCGUAAGAAGGAGCCAAUCUCACAAACCUAACCUCAGUUCGAAUUGCGGUCUGCAACUCGAGCGCAUGAAGCCGGAAUCGCUAGUAAUCGUGGAUCAGAAUGCCACGGUGAAUACGUUCUUAGGUCUU
rnacentral:rRNA from 1 species